UCGACGUCUUUGAUGAUCAGUGAUUGUGGGAUUACUGUUUAUCACAUAAAGUUGUCCAUGAGCGCUUGCGUAAGGUUGAGCACCCUCUAGCUACAGUAUAACACCCUGCAUACCUCUCCACGAUGACGGCCGGCAUCUGCACGAGUUGCACGGGGCUCUUGUUGUCCUUGAGCGCUUGCGUGAGGUUGAGCACCCUCUAGCUACAGUAUAACACCCUGUAUACCUCUCCACGAUGACGGCCGGCAUCUGCACGAGUUGCACGGGGCUCUUGUUGUCCUUGAGCGCUUGCGUGAGGUUGAGCACCCUCUAGCUACAGUAUAACACCCUGCAUACCUCUCCACGAUGACGGCCGGCAUCUGCACGAGUUGCACGGGGCUCUUGUUGUCCUUGAGCGCUUGCGUGAGGUUGAGCACCCUCUAGCUACAGUAUAACACCCUGCAUACCUCUCCACGAUGACGGCCGGCAUCUGCACGAGUUGCACGGGGCUCUUGUUGUCCUUGAGCGCUUGCGUGAGGUUGAGCACCUGCCCUCGCAUCACGGACAUCUGCCGCUCGAACAGACCCU